GACGUAGGUGGCGAAUGUUAUCCGGAAUUAUUGGGCGUAAAGGGUGCGUAGAUGGUCUGAUAAGUUAGCAGUGGGAAACCGAGGCUCAACCUCGUGGAAGCUGGUAAUACUGUUAGGCUUGAGUACAGGAGAGGUUAAUGGAACUCUAUGUGGAGGGGUAAAAAUCCAUAGAUAUAUAGAUGAACACCAAUAACGGCGAAGGCAGUUAAACUAUUCUG
rnacentral:rRNA from 1 species